rnacentral:rRNA from 1 species
GUCCUACGGGGGGCAGCAGUGAGGAAUAUUGGUCAAUGGGCGCGAGCCUGAACCAGCCAAGUAGCGUGAAGGAUGACUGCCCUACGGGUUGUAAACUUCUUUUAUAAAGGAAUAAAGUGAGGCACGUGUGCCUUUUUGUAUGUACUUUAUGAAUAAGGAUCGGCUAACUCCGUGCCAGCAGCCGCGGUAAUACGGAGGAUCCGAGCGUUAUCCGGAUUUAUUGGGUUUAAAGGGUGCGCAGGCGGCCUGUUAAGUCAGCGGUAAAAGCCCGGGGCUCAACCCCGGCGAGCCAUUGAAACUGGCGG